GACGAACGCUGGCGGCAUGCCUAACACAUGCAAGUCGGGCGAGUAGAUCCCUUCGGGGUGAAGCUAGCGGCGGACGGGUGAGUAACACGUGGGCAACCUGCCUCAUAGAGGGGAAUAGCCUUCCGAAAGGAAGAUUAAUACCGCAUAAGAUUGUAGUACCGCAUGGUAUAGCAAUUAAAGGAGCAAUCCGCUAUGAGAUGGGCCCGCGGCGCAUUAGCUAGUGGGUGGGGUAACGGCUCACCAAGGCGACGAUGCGUAGCCGACCUGAGAGGGUGAUCGGCCACAUUGGGACUGAGACACGGCCCAGACUCCUACGGGAGGCAGCAGUGGGGAAUAUUGCACAAUGGGGGAAACCCUGAUGCAGCAAUGCCGCGUGAGUGAUGACGGCCUUCGGGUUGUAAAGCUCUGUCUUCGGGGACGAUAAUGACGGUACCCGAGGAGGAAGCCACGGCUAACUACGUGCCAGCAGCCGCCGUAA
rnacentral:rRNA from 1 species